rnacentral:snRNA from 1 species
GGAUGUGAGGGUGAUCUGGCUGCAACAUCCGUCACUUCAUGGAUCACCAGUGUUGAUGCAGCUGAUCUGGCUGGCUAGGCAGGUGUCCUUUUCCUCCCUCAUCAGUCUAUGUGCAUCCUUCCUGAAUCUGCAUGUGGUGGAAGAGGACACCAUCUCAGAGACAAGUGUACCGUUCUUGUACAGUCAAGUGUUUAAUUGUUGUUAUUACUGAUCGUAAGACAAUAAUAAGAUUCUUUCACAACUGGAAACAAGGGACAUUUAGAUAGAUGCUUUUCC